rnacentral:sRNA from 1 species
UGUCCUUCCACUGACUGCUGUAGCACC